CCUAUUUUGCCAUGUACAAUCCUGUUCGAUCACAAGGAUCUUCAUGUGAUCAAAAUCUUUCAGAUUGUGAUCUGGUAACCUGAAAUGAUGGCUGACAGGAAUAUACGGUUUUUUUGUGAGGUCACUCCUGUGGCCAUUGAGGCGUUUGUGAAAUGGCUGCAUAGAUUCACCAACAUAUUGGAGAUCACAUCUAGGACACUCAAGAACGUAAAUCACGUUUGAGCUUAAGUAUAUAUAUAUUAGAGUUGUUCAAAUUGUAUAUAUAUAUUAGAGUUGUUCAAAUUGUAUAUAUAUAUUAGAGUUGUUCAAAUUGUAUAUAUAAUAUUGCAUGAACUUGAUGAAGACUAGAAUUUCAUUGUGAAGACUAAUUAUAUUUCCCAAGUUUUAAAAAAUCAUGUCAUAUAUACGAUUAAGUUUGAAUGCUUUGAAUACAAGUAAGUUGCUACUUAUUCACACUUCUGCUUUGAUGCAAGUUCGGUAUUUUUGGUAUUUUACUUUUUAUAAAAUACAUAGGAUAUUUAUUUUUCGAUAUAUUUACCAAAAAUAAAAGUUUUCCGACAAUAAAUAUGGUUUUCAAAUACUAUAUGUUGUUAGUUAGUUGCCUAAUUUUGAUAAUGUUUUAUUAGGAUAAUUUUACUUAUUUGCCUUGUUUGUCUAACUUAUUUAUCUUUCCUAAGUUUACUUUUCAUUUCUUUUUUUUCUGCGUUGUUCUAAUCGAAUGCCUCAAUGUAUUUGUGAAUUGCAAAUAGAAUAAACUUUAACCCGGUUUUUGAUAAUAAGUAAUAAAUACCCUGUUUCUGCAGUCAACAAAUAUGAUCCAUCAGCUGAAUUCUCAAUAAUGUAAUGUUAAAUAAAUGAUACUUCCACCUUUGCAUCACUGUUAAAUACAUUUGUAUGAUAGAACAUAUUGAAAGUUAAAAAAUCCUAUUUUUGUUACUCAUUUCUCAUGACAUUUUUAUAUGAAUCAUGAUUGUUGCAAUAUAAAUUUUAAAAUUAUUGUUUUAUUAUUGUUGUUGAAAUAAUUAUGUUUUUG
rnacentral:lncRNA from 1 species